UACGGGGGGGGCAAGCGUUGUUCGGAAUUACUGGGCGUAAAGGGCUCGUAGGCGGCCAACUAAGUCGGACGUGAAAUCCCUCGGCUUAACCUGGGAACUGCAUUUGUGACUGCAUGGCUAGAGUUUGGCAGAGGGGGGUAGAAUUCCACGUGUAGCAGUGAAAUGCGUAGAUAUGUGGAGGAACACCGAUGGCGAAGGCAGCCCCCUGGGUCAAGACUGACGCUCAUGCACGAAAGCGUGGGGAGCAAACAGG
rnacentral:rRNA from 1 species